GCUUGAGUGGUGGAAUUGGCAGACACGCAGGACUUAGGAUCCUGUGCCGCAAGGCGUAAGGGUUCGACCCCCUUCUCAAGCA
rnacentral:tRNA from 1 species